AGUGCAAGUCGUCUUGUCGUCCCGAUCCCGAUUAUUUCGAGGCUAUCGGGGAGGAAAGUCCGGGCAACAUAGAGCGCCAUACUUCCUAACGGGAAGGAGGCUGACUGGAAACGGUCAGUUUACAGCUAGUGCCACAGAAAAUAUACCGCCAUUAGACUUCGGGGCUAGCCCUGAGCUGGUCGAAGGGUAAGGGUGAAAAGGUGGGGUAAGAGCCCACCGUCCUGCUGGUGACAUCAGGAGCAUGGCAAACCUUAUGGGUUGAAAGAUCAAAUAGGUUCCGCGUCGGAUUCAGUUCCGAGAAAAGUGGCUCGCUUUUAUGCGGAAUGGGUAGAUCGAUGGACCCCGAUUGUGAAGUCGGGGCUAGAUAAAUGACAAGAAUCGGAGGCCGAAAAGCCAAGGAUACAGAACCCGGCUUAUAGACUUGCACUUUUU
rnacentral:RNase_P_RNA from 2 species